rnacentral:rRNA from 1 species
AUUGAACGCUGGCGGCAGGCCUAACACAUGCAAGUCGAACGAGCGGCGGACGGGUGAGUAAUGUAUGGGAAACUGCCUGAUGGAGGGGGAUAACUCCUGGAAACGGUAGCUAAUACCGCAUACCAUCAGAUGUGCCCAGAUGGGAUUAGCUUGUGGGUGGGGUAACGGCUCACCAAGGCGACGAUCCCUAGCUGGUCUGAGAGGAUGACCAUCCACACUGGAACUGAGACACGGUCCCGACUCCUACGGGAGGCAGCAGUGGGGAAUAUUGCACAAGGGGCGCAAGCCUGAUGCAGCCAUGCCGCGUGUAUGAAGAAGGCCUUCGGGUUGUAAAGUACUUUCAGCGGGGAGGCGUUACCCGCAGAAGAAGCACCGGCUAACUCCGUGCCAGCCGCCGCGGUAAUAC